rnacentral:rRNA from 1 species
GUUGAACGCUGGCGGCAGGCCUAACACAUGCAAGUCGAGCGGAUGAAGGAAGCUUGCUUCCCGAUUCAGCGGCGGACGGGUGAGUAAUGCCUAGGAAUCUGCCUAUUAGUGGGGGAUAACUCGGGGAAACUCGGGCUAAUACCGCAUACGUCCUACGGGAGAAAGUGGGGGAUCUUCGGACCUCACGCUAAUAGAUGAGCCUAGGUCGGAUUAGCUAGUUGGUGAGGUAACGGCUCACCAAGGCGACGAUCCGUAGCUGGUCUGAGAGGAUGAUCAGCCACACUGGAACUGAGACACGGUCCAGACUCCUACGGGAGGCAGCAGUGGGGAAUAUUGGACAAUGGGCGAAAGCCUGAUCCAGCCAUGCCGCGUGUGUGAAGAAGGUCUUCGGAUUGUAAAGCACUUUAAGUUGGGAGGAAGGUCUGUAAGCUAAUAUCUUGCAGUCUUGACGUUACCAACAGAAUAAGCACCGGCUAACUCUGUGCCAGCAGCCGCCGUAAGAC